CCUACGGGGGGCAGCAGUGGGGAAUAUUGGGCAAUGGAGGCAACUCUGACCCAGCAACGCCGCGUGAGUGAUGAAGGUCUUCGGAUUGUAAAACUCUUUAAGUGAGGACGAAGAAAGUGACUGUACCCACAGAAUAAGCCUCGGCUAACUACGUGCUAGCAGCCGCGGUAAUACGUAGGAGGCAAGCGUUAGCCGGAAGGACUGGGCGUAAGGGGUGCGUAGGUGGUUCGGUAAGUUAGUAGCGUAAUUCCGCGGCUCAACCUUGGAAAUACUACUAAAACUGUUGGGCUUGAGUGCAGGGGGGGUAUAUGGAAUUCGUAGUGUAGCGGUGGAAUGCUUAGAUAUUAGGAAGAACACCAGUGGCGAAGGCAAUAUGCUGAACUGUAACUGACACUGAGGCACGAAAGCGUGGGGAGCAAACAGGAUUAGAUACCCGAGUAGUC
rnacentral:rRNA from 1 species